rnacentral:rRNA from 1 species
GACUCUCGGCAACGGAUAUCUCGGCUCUCGCAUCGAUGAAGAACGUAGCGAAAUGCGAUACUUGGUGUGAAUUGCAGAAUCCCGUGAACCAUCGAGUCUUUGAACGCAAGUUGCGCCCGAAGCCUUCGGGCCAAGGGCACGUCUGCCUGGGCGUCACGCA